rnacentral:sRNA from 1 species
UUUAAUUCGGUGCAAAGCGAAGAACCUUACCAGGGCUUGACAUGCCGCGAAUCCUCUUGAAAGAGAGGGAUGCCUUCGGGAACGCAGACACAGGUGGCGCAUUGCUGUGGUAAUGGUUAUUUGUUCUCAAAAACCAAGACCA